GGAAUAUUGGACAAUGGAGGCAACCCUGAUCCAGCAAUGCCGCGUGUGUGAAGAAGGCCUGCGGGUUGUAAAGCACUUUAGAGGGGGAGGAAAGGCUUGAGGUUAAUACCCUUAAGAUAUGACGUUCCCCCUAGAAUAAGCACCGGCUAACGCUGUGCCAGCAGCCGCGGUAAUACAGAGGGUGCGAGCGUUAAUCGGAAUUACUGGGCGUAAAGGGCGCGUAGGCGGUUGAUUAAGUUAGAUGUGAAAUUCCCGGGCUUAACCUGGGGACUGCAUUUGAUACUGAUUGACUAGAGUAUGGUAGAGGGGAGUGGAAUUUCCGGUGUAGCGGUGAAAUGCGUAGAUAUCGGAAGGAACACCAGUGGCGAAGGCGACUCUCUGGGCCAAUACUGACGCUGAGGCGCGAAAGCGUGGGGAUCAAA
rnacentral:rRNA from 1 species